rnacentral:lncRNA from 1 species
UGGGGGCCAAUCCUACACAAUGCCAUAAAAAGAGACAAGAAAUAAAAAAAAAAAGAUUCAAAAACAUAAAUAAUCAAAAUUUUAAUCUGCUGACCGAGUCCCUGAGGUAAUUUUUUGGAUAUUUAAAACCGAACUUAGAGAGAUAUUUUUAAUUUUCAUCAUAUAAUGCGGGCACGUGUCAUCGAUUACACACCUACUCAGCCGU